AUUGAGUUGUUUUAAUGGUUUUUCUGUAGAUAUUUGGAGGAAGAUUAUGCUAAAUGUAAUGUUUAAAUUUGAUUAUUUGGUAAGCAUGGAAAAUGCUGGAGAUAAGUAAUUGCAUAGAGAGUUGAUGAUAUUUUGUGUUGGUUGCAAACUUUUCUCUUCGUAGGUUUUGGAAUUGUUGAAAAAUGCUCUGAAAGUGCUUUCAGUUACCUACCUUAUUACUGUAAUAUUAAAUUUUAAAAGAUUGAUUGGAUAAAUUUAGUGCCGAACCGUUUGUUUUUUUAUGCAUGUUAUCUUUGACAGAUGCAAAAGCCCUUCAGGAAAAGUAGGACUUCAAAUAAGAUAAGAGAAAGGUUUGUUUGUAGUUUAUAUCACUUUAUGUUUCAUCUGUGUGUUGUAUGUAUGAAAAACGCUGCAUAUUUUAACCCUUUCGUUACUAUAUUUCUGACCAAAAUACACCCCUUAUGUUUUUCAAUUAAUUUCUAACAUAAUCAUAAAUUUAGUCU